rnacentral:misc_RNA from 1 species
GAUAUCGAUUCUGCUCCUUCGCUUGCAGUUCUUGGUACAAUUUAGCAAGAGCCUUUAAACUAUUUAUCUGUUCAUCCCAAGCAUCAAGACCAGAUAUGAGCAGAAACACUUUGGUGUCCUUUAGUGAACUAAUACCGACCUCUAUCUCGGCGUCAGUGCCUAAAACAAGGGGUGGCUUCCCAUCGGGCCCGACGUCAAACAAGUCGAUGAGGAUGGUCGUAAGGUCUUGGUAUUUGUUGAAACGAUCAUUAAGCCCCUUGUAUAACUCAAUUUCACUUUUCCAAUGAGAAAAUUCCAAUUCCAGGCCUUUCUGCAUGCUACUGACUUUAGAAGCCAGCAUUCUCAGUUGCAAUGCCAUUUUUGCCAUGGUGUGCUCAUCCCUCAACCCAAGGGCAGCAAUAUGAGAGCCGCAGGUCACAACACUAUA